rnacentral:rRNA from 1 species
UACGUAGGCAGCAAGCGUUGUUCGGAGUUACUGGGCGUAAAAGGGUGCGUAGGCGGCUUUUUAAGUUUGGUGUGAAAUCUCCCGGCUCAACUGGGAGGGUGCGCCGAAUACUGAGAGGCUAGAGUGCGGGAGAGGAAAGUGGAAUUCCUGGUGUAGCGGUGAAAUGCGUAGAUAUCAGGAGGAACACCAAUAGCGAAGGCGGCUCACUGGACCGGUACUGACGCUGAGGCGCGAAAGCGUGGGGAGCAAACGGG